rnacentral:rRNA from 1 species
CGUAGGGACCAAGCGUUGUUCGGAUUUACUGGGGGUAAAGGGCGCGUAGGCGGCGUGUUAAGUCACUUGUGAAAAUCUCUAAGCUUAACUUAGAACGGUCAAGUGAUACUGAUGUGCUAGAGUGCAGAAGGGGCAACCGGAAUUCUUGGUGUAGCGGUGAAAUGCGUAGAUAUCAAGAGGAACACCUGAGGUGAAGACGGGUUGCUGGGCUGACACUGACGCUGAGGCGCGAAAGCUAGGGUAGCAAACGGGAUUAGAUACCCCGGUAGUCCUAGCCCUAAACGAUGAAUACUUGGUGUCUGGAGUUUUUAUUCUCCGGGUGCCGUCGCUAACGUUUUAAGUAUUCCGCCUGGGGAGUACGCACGCAAGUGUG